CCCCCGCAAAAUUUGUUAGGUACGGGGGUUUUCCCACCCGGUUCCGGGCAAAAAUUUCGAAAGGGGGUUAAAGCGGGACCCCCCCGCCCCUCCCGAGACAAAAUAAAAAUUUACCCUUGGGUCCCGCGCCCUCCCCCCCUGAUUUUCGGCCUUUUCCCUUUGAAGGCAGGCCCCCACAAACCCCGCCCCGGCGGAGGUGAAAUAACCCUCAAACCGCCUUCCCCUCCGGUAUACCCGAGGCCCAGUGCUUUCCGAGUUGUCGGAUUUCAUUGAAUUUUGCAAUUCACCCUUACUUAUCCAUUUCGAGCUUUUUUUAAUCAGCCAGAACCCAAAGGUCCGUUGUAAAAGUUGAUUCCAUUUUAUUUUUUUUUACUCAAAGAUUUCACUCAGAAACAGAGUUUGUUGGCCGCGGGCGGUGCUUCUUUUUUUUCCAGGGCCCCCGAGGCCCCCCUGCGCCGAGCAACAGUAAGGUAUAAGUUUCACCAAGGGUUUUCGGUUGCCAAGCGCGUUCCAGCAAUGAUCUCCGUAGGGUGAACCUGCGGAGGGAUCAUUGCUGGAACGCGCUUCGGCGCACCCAGAAACCCUUUGUGAACUUAUACCUUACUGUUGCCUCGGCGCAGGCCGGCCCCUCCACCGGGGCCCCUCGGAGACGAGGAGCAGCCCGCCGGCGGCCAACCAAACUCUUGUUUCUUAGUGAAUCUCUGAGUAAAAAAACAUAAAUGAAUCAAAACUUUCAACAACGGAUCUCUUGGUUCUGGCAUCGAUGAAGAACGCAGCGAAAUGCGAUAAGUAAUGUGAAUUGCAGAAUUCAGUGAAUCAUCGAAUCUUUGAACGCACAUUGCGCCCUCUGGUAUUCCGGAGGGCAUGCCUGUUCGAGCGUCAUUUCAACCCUCAAGCCUGGCUUGGUGUUGGGGCACUGCUUCGAGAGGAGCAGGCCCUGAAAUCUAGUGGCGAGCUCGCCAGGACCCCGAGCGUAGUAGUUAUAUCUCGUUCUGGAAGGCCCUGGCGGUGCCCUGCCGUUAAACCCCCAACUUCUGAAAUUUUGACCUCGGAUCAGGUAGGAAUACCCGCUGAACUUAAGCAUAUCAAUAAGCCGGAGGA
rnacentral:rRNA from 1 species